GCCUGGGUGGCUCAGUGGGUUAAAGCCUCUGCCUUCGGCUCAGAUCAUGAUCUCAGAGUCCUGGGAUCAAGCCCCGCCUCAGGCU
rnacentral:tRNA from 1 species